rnacentral:lncRNA from 1 species
CCGCCUGCGAAGUGCUCCGCGGCCGGCGGAGACGCGGGCAGCCAGCGAUGGCCGCGGAGGGGGCGAACUGGGUUCCGGCCCUCGGAGGCUGACGGAAGGCGGUGGCUGAGGAGCGGCGCCUCUGGUUGAGCGCUCGCCGUGUGUCCCGCACCUGUCUGUCCUGCCGCCGCCCGGUAAGGUAGGAAAGGUCAGCGCGCCGGGGUUACGGGUACAGAACCUGGGUUCGAAUCCCGGCCCCGACGUUUCCGCACUACGUGCCGUUGGGCAGGAGCUGACGUCACCUUGCCGGGCCUCAGUUUCCUUCUCUGGUGCGCUGAGGAGGCGGGGCAUGGAACGUGGUCAGCGCUUCAUCGGUGCUGGCUCUUUGAGCAAGCCAGUUCCCGAAGGCUCAGCAUCUCAUUCAUUCAUUAAAAUGUCAUUGAGCGCCUACUGUGUGUCAAUCACUGUAUGGGCAGUGAGCAGAAAAAAAAUACCUGGUCUUAUUGGGCUAACAUUCUAAACCAGCGCUGGCCUAGAAUGCCCUAGUAGAAAUACAUGCAAGCUACAUGUUUAAUUUUUUUUUAUGUAAAGAUGGGCUCUGGUUCUGUUGCCCAGGCUGGUCUCGAACUCCUGGACUCAAGCGAUUCUCCUGCCUCCGCCUCCCAAAGAGCUGGGAUUACAGGCAUGCCUGCACUCUGCCUAAUUUUUUCUUUUUUUUUUUUAUGAUCUGAAAAUAAUAGUCUUUUUAUUUUUAUUUAUUUAUUUAUUUAUUUGAGACGGAGACUCGCUCUGUCGCCAGGCUGGAGUGCAGUGGCGUGAUCUCCGCUCACUGCAACCUCCGCUUCCCAGGUUCAAGCGAUUCUCCUGCCUCAGCCUCCUAAGUAGUUGGGCCUACAGGCGCUGCGCCACCACAACCAGCUAAUUUUUGUAUUUUUAGUAGAGACGGGGUUUCACCGUGUUGGCCAUGAUGAUCUGUAUCUCUUGACCUCGUGAUCUGCCCGCCUCAGCCUCCCAAAGUGCUGGGAUUACAGGCUUGAGCCACUGCGCCUGGCCUACAAUUUUGUUUUUCUUUUUUUUUUUUUUUUUUUGAGACAGGAUCUCACUCUGUCACCCAAUUUGGAGUGCGGUGGUAUGAUCACAGCUAACUGCAGCCUCAACUUCCCCAGCUCAGGCAAUCAAUCCUCCGGCUUCAGAUUCCUGAGUAGCUUAGACUACAGGAUGUGCCACUAUGCCUGGCUAAUGUUUUAUUUUUUUGUAGCGAUGAGGUCUUGCUGUAUUGCCUAGGCUGGUCUCAAACUUCUAGACUUAAGUGAUCCUCCUGCUUUGGCCUCCCAAAGUGUUGGGAUUACAGGCGGGAGCCACGGUGCCCAGCCUGUUUCUUUUUUUAAUCAUAUUUUCUUAGAAGUUUUUUUUUUUUUUUUUUUUUUUUUUGGAGACAGGGUCUCACUCUGCUGUGCAGGCUGGAAUGCAGUGGUGUGAUCUCAGCUCACUGCAACCUCUGCCUCCCUAUUCAAGUGAUUCUCGUGCCUCAGCCUCCCAAGUAGCUGGGAUCACAGGCGUGCAACAUCACACCCAGCUAAUUCUUGUGGUUUUAGUAGAGAUGGGGUUUUGCCAUGUUGGCCAGGCUGGUCUCAAACUCCUGGCCUCAAGUGAUCCACCCACCUCGGCCUCCCAAAGUGCUGGGAUUACAGGCAUGAGCCACCACCCGGCCUAGGAAAGCUUUUUAGAGAUUGGGUCUCACUGUGUUGCCCAGGCUGGAGUGCAGUGGCUGUUCACAGGUGCAAUCAUCCCACAGGUUUAACUCCUGACCUCAAGCAGUCCUUCUGCCUCAGGCUCCCAAGUAGCUGGGAUUAUAGGCACGUGCCACCACACCUAGCUCAAUUAAAUGUUAAAUUUAACAUUUAAUUGUUAAAUUUUAUAGUAGCCAGCAUUCUGGGUCAUCACGGUGCAAUAGAAGUAUAAACAAAGCAGGCCAGGCACAGUAGGUCACGCCUGUAAUCCCAGCACUUUGGGAGGCCGAGGCGGGCAGAUCACCAGGUCAGUAGUUCGAGACCAGCCUGGCCAACAUGUUGAAACCCCAGUCUCUACUAAAAAUACAAAAAUUAGCUGGACGUGGUGGCAGGAGCCUGUAAUCCCAGCUACUCGGGAGGCUGAGGCAGGAGAAUCGCUUGAAACUGGAAAGUGGAGGUUGCAGUGAGCCGAGAUCCCGCCACUGCACUCCAGCCUAGGUGAAAGAGGGAAAUUACAUCUCAAAAAAACAGUAUAAGCAAGCCACAGAUUUGUCAGCGAGGUAUGUAAUUUAAAUUGGUACAUUGUUAGCCAUGUUUAAAAAUAAGUAAAAAGAAACGGGUGAUGUUAGUUGUAAUGUGUUUUAUUUAACUCAGUAGGUUGAAUAUGUUAUUAUUUAAACAUGUAGUCAAUAUUUUAAAAUACAGGAUGUUUUGCAUCUGUUAUCUUUCCAAAAUAGAAGAUACUUUGUGUCCUUUUUCUUUCCUGCAUGCUUUUUUUUUCUUAUUUUUUUGAGACAGAGUCUCACUCUGUUGCCAAGGCUGGAGUGCAGUGGCGGGAUCUCGGCUAACUGCAACCUCCCCAUCCCGGGUUCAAGCGAUUCUCCUGCCUCAGCCUCCCGAGUAGCUGCGAUUACAGACAUUUGCCACCAUGCCCGGCACAGCACAGCACCGCACAUCUCCAGUCGGACUGGCUACAUUUCAAGGGCUCAACCAUCACGCGUUACCAGUGGCUACUGCAUCAGACUGUGCAGUGCUAGAUGGGGAGUCAGAAGAGAAACCAAGUGAUUUCCAUGUCAAGUGGUGAACAGGCUAAGAAGAAAAGUAAAUUGGGGAAAGAGCAUGGGGAAUGUGGGGGUUGCUGUUUGAAAGAGGAUGGUUGGGAAGGCUGAAGAGCUGUCAUUCGCAGAGGGACCCAAAAGAGGUCCACUUACAGCUGGAUUUACUUCCACCUCUGCCACCUGUGAGACAGCGAGACCAACCCCUCCUCCUCCUCUUCCUAGCCUACUCCGAGUGAAGAUGAUGAAGAUGAAGACCGUUAUGAUCCACUUCCACUUAAUGAAAGAUGAAUAUAUUUUCUCUUCCUAAUGAUUUUUUUUUUUUUUUUUUUGGAGACAGAGUCUCGCUGCAUCCCCCAGGCUGGAGUACAGUGGUAUGAUCUUGGCUCACUGCAACCUCUGCCUCCUAGGUUCAAGUGAUUCUCCUGCCUCAGUCUCCCGAGUAGCUGGGAUUACAGGCGCCCACCACCAUGCCCGGCUAAUUUUUGUAUUUUUAGUAGAGAUGGGGUUUCACUAUGUUGGCCAGGCUGGUCUCAAACUCCUGACCUCAGGUGAUCUGCCUGACUUGGCCUCCCAAAGUGCUGGGAUUACAGGCAUGAGCCACCUUGCCUGGCCUCUUCCUAAUGAUUUUUUAAAGUACAUCUUGUUUUCUCUGUCUUACUUUAUCAUAAAAAUAUAUGAUACAAAUAAAAUACAGAAUAUGUGUUAAUGGACUGUGUAUGUUAUGAGUAAGCCUUCCAGUCGACAGUGGGCUAUUAUUGGUGGUUAAGUUUUGGGGGAGUGUGUGUUCAAGGGUCAACCGCACUUCCUGAGGGCACUGUGAGAACUAAGUUAAAUAACCCACUUUUACAAUCUUUGGAACCGGGGGCAGGUGGCUGGGGCUCACACCUGUAAUUACAGCACUUUGGGAGGCUGAGGCAGGAAGAUCCCUUGAGGCCAAGAGUUUGAGACCAGCCUGGGCAACAAAGCAAGACUCUGUCUCUACAAAAAUUUU